GAGUUUGAUCCUGGCUCAGAUUGAACGCUGGCGGCAGGCUUAACACAUGCAAGUCGAGCGGAGAGAGGUAGCUUGCUACUGAUCUUAGCGGCGGACGGGUGAGUAAUGCUUAGGAAUCUGCCUAUUAGUGGGGGACAACAUUUCGAAAGGAAUGCUAAUACCGCAUACGUCCUACGGGAGAAAGCAGGGGAUCUUCGGACCUUGCGCUAAUAGAUGAGCCUAAGUCGGAUUAGCUAGUUGGUGGGGUAAAGGCCUACCAAGGCGACGAUCUGUAGCGGGUCUGAGAGGAUGAUCCGCCACACUGGGACUGAGACACGGCCCAGACUCCUACGGGAGGCAGCAGUGGGGAAUAUUGGACAAUGGGCGCAAGCCUGAUCCAGCCAUGCCGCGUGUGUGAAGAAGGCCUUAUGGUUGUAAAGCACUUUAAGCGAGGAGGAGGCUACUUUAGUUAAUACCUAGAGAUAGUGGACGUUACUCGCAGAAUAAGCACCGGCUAACUCUGUGCCAGCAGCCGCGGUAAUACAGAGGGUGCAAGCGUUAAUCGGAUUUACUGGGCGUAAAGCGCGCGUAGGCGGCUAAUUAAGUCAAAUGUGAAAUCCCCGAGCUUAACUUGGGAAUUGCAUUCGAUACUGGUUAGCUAGAGUGUGGGAGAAGGAAUGAGAAUUCCAGGUGUAGCGGUGAAAUUGCGUAGAAGAUCUGAGGGAAUACCGAUGGCGAAAGGCAGCCAUCUGGCCUAACACUGACGCUGAGGUGCGAAAGCAUGGGGACCAAACAGGAUUAGAUACCCUGGUAGUCCAUGCCGUAAACGAUGUCUACUAGCCGUUGGGGCCUUUGAGGCUUUAGUGGCGCAGCUAACGCGAUAAGUAGACCGCCUGGGGAGUACGGUCGCAAGACUAAAACUCAAAUGAAUUGACGGGGGCCCGCACAAGCGGUGGAGCAUGUGGUUUAAUUCGAUGCAACGCGAAGAACCUUACCUGGCCUUGACAUAGUAAGAACUUUCCAGAGAUGGAUUGGUGCCUUCGGGAACUUACAUACAGGUGCUGCAUGGCUGUCGUCAGCUCGUGUCGUGAGAUGUUGGGUUAAGUCCCGCAACGAGCGCAACCCUUUUCCUUAUUUGCCAGCGAGUAAUGUCGGGAACUUUAAGGAUACUGCCAGUGACAAACUGGAGGAAGGCGGGGACGACGUCAAGUCAUCAUGGCCCUUACGGCCAGGGCUACACACGUGCUACAAUGGUCGGUACAAAGGGUUGCUACCUAGCGAUAGGAUGCUAAUCUCAAAAAGCCGAUCGUAGUCCGGAUUGGAGUCUGCAACUCGACUCCAUGAAGUCGGAAUCGCUAGUAAUCGCGGAUCAGAAUGCCGCGGUGAAUACGUUCCCGGGCCUUGUACACACCGCCCGUCACACCAUGGGAGUUUGUUGCACCAGAAGUAGCUAGCCUAACUGCAAAGAGGGCGGUUACCACGGUGUGGCCGAUGACUGGGGUGAAGUCGUAACAAGGUAAC
rnacentral:rRNA from 1 species